GCUCAGGAUGAACGCUAGCGGCAGGCCUAAUACAUGCAAGUCAAGGGGUUCAGCAAUGGACACCGGCGGACGGGUGCGUAACGCGUACACAACGUACCUCAGAGCGGGGGAUAGCAUUGGGAAACUGGUGGUAAACCCCCAUGGUGUUGAGAGAUGGCAUCAUUUUUCAACUAAAGGUUACACUCUGAGAUCGGUGUGCGUCUGAUUAGCUAGUUGGCGGGGUAACGGCCCACCAAGGCGACGAUCAGUAGGGGGUGUGAGAGCAUGACCCCCCACAUGGGUACUGAGACACGGACCCAACUCCUACGGGAGGCAGCAGUAAGGAAUAUUGGACAAUGGGCGCAAGCCUGAUCCAGCCAUGCCGCGUGAAGGAUGAGGCGCUCAGCGUUGUAAACUUCUUUUGGACGGGAACAAUACCCCUGAUGCGUCAGGGCUUGAGGGUACCGUCAGAAUAAGCACCGGCUAACUCCGUGCCAGCAGCCGCGGUAAUACGGAGGGUGCAAGCGUUAUCCGGAAUCACUGGGUUUAAAGGGUGCGUAGGCGGUCGUGUAAGUCAGUCGUGAAAUCGCUGGGCUCAACCCAUGCAAUUGCGAUUGAUACUGCAUGACUUGAAUGGGGUUAAGGCAGGCGGAAUGUGGCAUGUAGCGGUGAAAUGCAUAGAUAUGCCAUAGAACACCGAUUGCGAAGGCAGCCUGCUGGGCCUUUAUUGACGCUGAGGCACGAAAGCGUGGGGAGCAAACAGGAUUAGAUACCCUGGUAGUCCACGCCCUAAACGAUGUUUACUUGCUGUUUGCCCUUUGGGGUGAGUGGCGUAGCGAAAGCGAUAAGUAAACCACCUGGGGAGUACGCCGGCAACGGUGAAACUCAAAUGAAUUGACGG
rnacentral:rRNA from 1 species